AUUGAACGCUGGCGGCAUGCCUUACACAUGCAAGUCGAACGGCAGCACGGACUUCGGUCUGGUGGCGAGUGGCGAACGGGUGAGUAAUGUAUCGGAACGUACCUUUCAGUGGGGGAUAACGUAGCGAAAGUUACGCUAAUACCGCAUAUUCUGUGAGCAGGAAAGCAGGGGAUCGCAAGACCUUGCGCUGAUUGAGCGGCCGAUAUCAGAUUAGCUAGUUGGUGGGGUAAAGGCCUACCAAGGCUACGAUCUGUAGCGGGUCUGAGAGGAUGAUCCGCCACACUGGAACUGAGACACGGUCCAGACUCCUACGGGAGGCAGCAGUGGGGAAUUUUGGACAAUGGGGGCAACCCUGAUCCAGCCAUGCCGCGUGAGUGAAGAAGGCCUUCGGGUUGUAAAGCUCUUUCUAGCCGGGAAGGAAAUCGCAUCAGCUAAUACCUACGGUGGUGGAGUGACGGUACCGGAAAUAAGAAGCACCGGCUAACUACGU
rnacentral:rRNA from 1 species